rnacentral:rRNA from 1 species
GACGAACGCUGGCGGCGUGGAUUAGGCAUGCAAGUCGAACGGUAUCAUCCUUUCGGGGGUGAGAGAGUGGCGAACUGGUGAGUAACACGUAGGUUAUCUACCCUCAAGACGGGGACAACCCAGGGAAACUUGGGCUAAUACCGGAUGUGAGCAACUUUUAGUUGUUUGAAAGGUGGCGUAAGCUGUCGCUUGGGGAUGAGCCUGCGUCCUAUUAGUUAGUUGGUGAGGUAACGGCUCACCUAGGCAAUGAUAGGUAGGCGGCCUUAACGGGUGGUCGCCCACACUGGGAUUGAGAUACGGCCCAGACUCCUACGGGAGGCAGCAGUCGAGAAUAGUCUACAAUGGUCGGAAGACUGAUAGUGCGACGCCGCGUGAACGAUGAAUCCCUUCGGGGUGUAAAGUUCUUUUAUAUGUGAGCAGUGCUUCUUAUAUUAACAGUAUGGGGAGAGAGAUAUUAGCAUAUGAAUAAGCAACGGCUAACUCGUGCCAGCAGCCGCGGUAAA